rnacentral:rRNA from 1 species
AGUGAACGCUGGCGGUAGGCCUAACACAUGCAAGUCGAACGGCAGCACAGUAAGAGCUUGCUCUUACGGGUGGCGAGUGGCGGACGGGUGAGGAAUACAUCGGAAUCUACUUUUUCGUGGGGGAUAACGUAGGGAAACUUACGCUAAUACCGCAUACGACCUACGGGUGAAAGCAGGGGAUCUUCGGACCUUGCGCGAUUGAAUGAGCCGAUGUCGGAUUAGCUAGUUGGCGGGGUAAAGGCCCACCAAGGCGACGAUCCGUAGCUGGUCUGAGAGGAUGAUCAGCCACACUGGAACUGAGACACGGUCCAUACGCCUACGGGAGGCAGCAGUGGGGAAUAUUGGACAAUGGGCGCAAGCCUGAUACAGCCAUACCGCGUGGGUGAAGAAGGCCUUCGGGUUGUAAAGCCCUUUUGUUGGGAAAGAAAAGCAGCAGGUUAAUACCCCGCUGUUCUGACGGUACCCAAAGAAUAAGCACCGGCUAACUUCGUG